CUGUAGUUCAGUUGGUUAGAGCGUCAGAUUGUGGUUCUGAAUGUCGUGGGUUCGAGUCCCACCA
rnacentral:tRNA from 1 species